CCUACGGGAGGCUGCAGUCGAGAAUCAUUCACAAUGGGGGAAACCCUGAUGGUGCGACGCCGCGUGGGGGAAUGAAGGUCUUCGGAUUGUAAACCCCUGUCAUGUGGGAGCAAAUUAAAAAGAUAGUACCACAAGAGGAAGAGACUGCUAACUCAGGACCAGCAGCCGCGGUAAUACAGAGGUCUCAAGCGUUGUUCGGACUCACUGGGCGUAAAGUGGGCGUGGGCUGUGUGGUAAGUCGUGUGUGAAAGGGGCGGGAUCAACCCGCGGACGGCACAUGAUACUGUGAGACUAGAGUAAUGGAGGGGGAAGCGGAAUUCCCGGUGUAGCGGUGAAAUGCGUAGAUA
rnacentral:rRNA from 1 species